UCAGACAGGUAAAUCAAUAAAAUUUCUCCGCAGCGAUUGGCUGACAUCAGGGCACACAAACUCACGAACUCUAACGGAGAAAAAACUAAACUGAAAAUUACGUGUUUCGAUUUGAUUGGAUAGACCUGAAUAUCAGCUUUCAAAUACGUGACAUCGACGUCAGCCUCGGAAGUGAAAGUCAGUCGUUAUUGAAUUUUGUCGAGAGUCAGUGCAGUCUCCGUGACUCAAUGUUAGCCUAGGAACUUAGCUAAGAGUAAUUAACCUUCUUAAUUUCAAGCUUUCAGUGAAGACGAGAGGACGGUUCCCUUCCAGUGACGUGUGCAAGAUGGAGACAAGUACAACAUUUCACCUUAGGUCUGAUGUAUGUGUACGUGUGAAUUGCAGAGAUGUGACAUUAAACUCCGUGAAUUACCUUUCGAUAAUACACGUCUGCACAAAAGAGGCGUGUGUUUCCUAUUGUGACAGCCAAGUAAACUCCAGAUGUACCUGGUUCACAGAGGAUGGACGGGUCUAAAUGUGACGUUUGUGUGCAUAUGUAUACAUAUUUAUAUAUAUUUCUGACAAGACGGAUCUUUGUAAUAUCCCGAUACAUUUUACAAUAAAAUUUUGACAUAUGUACUAAUA